rnacentral:rRNA from 1 species
UACAGAGACCUCAAGCGUUAUCCGGAAUCAUUGGGCGUAAAGCGUACCGAUAGGUGGUCUAAAAAGUCAGAUGUGAAAUUCCAAGGCUCAACCUUGGGACUGUCAUUUGAAACUUUUAGACUAGAGGGGCAAAGAGGAAGCUGGAACGAACGGUGUAGUAGUGAAAUGCGUUGAUAUCGUUCGGAACACCAAUAGCGAAGGCGGGCUUCUGGGUGCCACCUGACACUGCUAGGACGAAAGCGUGGGUAGCGAAUGGG